rnacentral:ncRNA from 1 species
UUCUUACUGUCCCUAUCUACUAUCUAGCGAAACCACAGCCAAGGGAACGGGCUUGGGAGAAUCAGCGGGGAAAGAAGACCCUGUUGAGCUUGACUCUAGUCUGGCAUUGUAAGGACACACGAGAGGUGUAUCAUAAGUGGAAGAUCGUUUCGCGCGAUCGUCGCUGAAAAACACUACUUUCAUUGUUUCAUUACUUACACGGUUGGGCGGAAGCGGUGCGCGGUCGAUAAUAUCGGCGGGCGCACGGUGUUUCGCUCCAAGCGUGCAGAGUGGUGACGUGGUGGAAACGCUCGUCGCCGUUUAAAACUCCCGCGUGAUCCGGUUCGAGGACACUGCCAGGCGGGGAGUUUGACUGGGGCUGUACAUCUGUCAAAGAAUAACGCAGGUGUCCUAAGGCCAGCUGAGCGAGGACCGAAAACUCGCGUGGAGCAAAAGGGCAAAAGCUGGCUUGAUCCAGAUAUUCAGUACGCAUAAACACGGCCAAUCGAUCCUUUAGUAUAAAGAAUUUUUAGCAAAACUCGCGUCGCACCGUUGAGUGUGCUUCUCACUAUUCCUCGGCUGUAAUGCUUACUUACAGU